rnacentral:rRNA from 1 species
GAUGAACGCUGGCGGCGUGCCUAAUACAUGCAAGUCGAGCGAACAGACGAGGAGCUUGCUCCUCUGACGUUAGCGGCGGACGGGUGAGUAACACGUGGAUAACCUCCCUCUAAGUCUGGGAUAAUUUCGGAAAACCGGAUCUAAUACCGGAUAAUAUAUUGAACCGCUUGGUUCAAUAGUGAAUGACGGCUUGGCUGUCACUUAUAGAUGGAUCCGCGCCGCAUUAGCUAGUUGGUAAGGUCACGGCUUACCAAGGAAACGAUGCGUACCCGACCUGAGAGGGGAUUCGGCCACACUGAACCUGAGCCGCGGUCCAGACUCCUACGGAAGGCAGCAGUGGGGAAUCUGCCGCAAUGGGGGAAAGCCUGACGGAGCAACGCCGCUUGGGUGAUGAAGGUCUUCGGUUCGUAAAACUCUUUUAUGGGGGAAAAACAAAUGUGUAAGUAACUAUGCACGUCUGAACGGUACCUAAUCAGAAAGCCCCGGCAAACUACGU